rnacentral:lncRNA from 1 species
AGGAAAGAUAAAGCUGGCAAAUUCCACCAGAUGAAGAUGUACAGCUUUAUCAAGAAGAUAAUAAAGAAGAGAUUAAUUAGCUUGUCUGGAUUCUGGCAGCAGAUUCCAUCAUGUUGGCCUAAGAGUUGCAAUGGAUAACCUCAUCCCAUCUUAAAUUACGGUGGUGCUGUGAUAGCCUUACGUUUGUUAUGCUAUAAAAAAUAUUAAA